AGGAUUCCCAGGAGCCAUGUUGUCAGAAGUCCUACUGGUGUCUGCUCCGGGGAAAGUCAUCCUUCAUGGAGAACAUGCCGUGGUACAUGGCAAGGUAGCACUGGCUGUAUCCUUGAACUUGAGAACAUUCCUCCGGCUUCAACCCCACAGCAAUGGGAAAGUGGACCUCAGCUUACCCAACAUUGGUAUCAAGCGGGCCUGGGAUGUGGCCAGGCUUCAGUCACUGGACACAAGCUUUCUGGGGUCUCACUCUGUUAUGCAGCCUGGAGUACAGUGGUGCGACCACAGCUCACUGUUUCUUCAACCUCCUGGGCUCAAGCGAUCCUCCUGCCUCAGCCUUCUGAGUAGCUGGGACCACAGGUGUGCG
rnacentral:lncRNA from 10 species